GCAGUAGCCGCGGUAAUACGUAGGGUGCAAGCGUUAUCCGGAAUUAUUGGGCGUAAAGGGCUCGUAGGCGGUUUGUCGCGUCUGUUGUGAAAACUGGAGGCUCAACCUCCAGCCUGCAGUGGGUACGGGCAGACUAGAGUGCGGUAGGGGAGAUUGGAAUUCCUGGUGUAGCGGCGGAAUGCGCAGAUAUCAGGAGGAACACCGAUGGCGAAGGCAGAUCUCUGGGCCGUAACUGACGCUGAGGAGCGAAAGCAUGGGGAGCGAACAGGAUUAGAGACCCCGGUAGUCCCUGUCUCUUAUAC
rnacentral:rRNA from 1 species